rnacentral:rRNA from 1 species
AGAGUUUGAUCAUGGCUCAGGACGAACGCUGGCGGUAUGCCUAACACAUGCAAGUCGAACGAGAUUCUUUUUUUGUUUACAAAGAAAGAGUUGCAGUGGCGGACGGGUGAGGAACACGUAAGAACUUACCUUUUGGCGGGGGAUAACAACGGGAAACUGUUGCUAAUACCCCAUAACGCUGAGGAGCGAAAGGGAAACUGCCAAAAGAGAGGCUUGCGUCUGAUUAGCUAGUUGGAGGAGGUAAAUGCUCCCCAAGGCGACGAUCAGUAGCUGGUCUGAGAGGAUGAUCAGCCACACUGGGACUGAGACACGGCCCAGACUCCUACGGGAGGCAGCAGUGGGGAAUUUUCCACAAUGGGCGAAAGCCUGAUGGAGCAAUACCGCGUGAAGGAUGAAGGAUCGUGGUCCGUAAACUUCUUUUCUUAACGAAGAAAUUCUGACGGUAGUUAAGGAAUAAGCACCGGCUAACUCCGUGCCAGCAGCCGCGGUAAUACGGGGGG